GAUGAACGCUGGCGGCGUGCCUAAUACAUGCAAGUCGAGCGAACAGACGAGGAUCUUUCUCCUAUGACGUUAGCGUCGCGCGGGGGAGUAACAUGUGUAUAACCUACCUAUGAGACUGGGAUAACUUCGGGAAACCGGAGCUAAAACCGGAUAAUAUAUUGAACCGCAUGGUUCAAUAGUGAAAGACGGUUUUGCUUUCACUCAUCGGUUGAUCCGCGCCGCAUUAGCUAGUUGGUAAGGUAACGGCUUACCAAGGCAACGAUGCGUAGCCGACCUGAGAGGGUGAUCGGCCACACUGGAACUGAGACACGGUCCAGACUCCUACGGGAGGCAGCAGUAGGGAAUUUUAGGCAAUGGGGGAAAGCCUGACGGAGCAACGCCGCGUGAGUGAUGAAGGUCUUCGGAUCGUAAAAUUCUGUUAUUAGGGAAGAACAAAUGUGUAAGUAACCAUGCACGUAUUGACGGUACCUAAUCAGAAAGCAACGGCUAACUACGUG
rnacentral:rRNA from 1 species